rnacentral:rRNA from 1 species
GAGUUUGAUUCUGGCUCACAAUGAACGCUGGCGGCGUGCCUAACACAUGCAAGUCGAGCGCGAACGGUUCCUUCGGGAACUUACUAGAGCGGCGAACGGGUGAGUAACGCGUGGGUAAUCUGCCUGGAAGUGGGGGAUAGCUCAGGGAAACCUGGGGUAAUACCGCAUGUGAACCGACGGCCAUAAGGUCGGCGGUGGAAAGAUGGGGAUCUUCGGACCUGUCGCUUCCAGAUGAGCCCGCGUCCGAUUAGCUUGUUGGUGGGGUAAUGGCCUACCAAGGCGACGAUCGGUAGCCGGCCUGAGAGGGUGAUCGGCCACAUUGGGACUGAGACACGGCCCAGACUCCUACGGGAGGCAGCAGUGGGGAAUUUUGGGCAAUGGGGGAAACCCUGACCCAGCGACGCCGCGUGGAGGACGACGGUCUUCGGAUUGUAAACUCCUGUCAGGAGGGAAGAAGGCUCCAUCGAUUAAGAGUCAGUGGAGUUUGACCUACCUCCAAAGGAAGCCCCGGCUAACUUCGUGCCAGCAGCCGCGGUAAUACGAAGGGGGCAAGCGUUGUUCGGAUUUACUGGGCGUAAAGCGCGCGUAGG